UCGGGGGUCGCUGGGCCCAGCCCCAGGGCGCCGCAGGGGAGACCCCGGGGCCGCGAGGUCCGCCCACGACAAGACAGCGAGGGAGACCACUGUCACUUUCCCCAAAGAGUGAAAUCCCAUUUCAAAAUUGCAAAGCAGUGGGUAAAAUGAAGGCGAAACUUUCCCAAACCAAACUGGGUCCUGUGAAAGGAGACGCCACUCUCGUUCUUCUGACCAGUUUUCAAAUCCUCCAAGUAACUGUGGAAAUUCUUCAGGCAUUUUUUCUGUAUUAUGGAAUAAUGGGGCGUGGGGAGGGAGGGAGCAGUAAAGGAUUUUCAUACUAUUGAUACAUUAAAGACAUUUUUUACUUUAUUUAUUCCUGACAGUCUUCUGAAGGUGGUGAUGUUUUCCAACUGGGUUCAGAGUCGUUAAUAACCAGCUAGAAAAUGCAAGAGGGCUGUCAGUGAAGAUAUGUUUUUAUUUCACUUGGAUAAAUAUCUGGAAGUGGCUUGCUGGGUCAGGUGGAGGGAACAUUGAUUGUGGAAAUCAGAACUGCUGGAGCAACGUCCCUGGGAAGAUGUAGAAAAAAACCAUACGAGAUUCACCUUAACUGAAAGCAUGAACAAUUCAUCCUUAGUAAUGGAGGGGCGAGCAGAGCAUAUGAACAGUGAUACUUGUAGUUGUGGUACUGCAAAUUUGUGGAAGGUCUCCUCAGAUUGGUUCCCUGCUCAGUGAAAAAGCGGCAAGAAAAAGGUAACAGAGACUGAUGAUGGGGGAGGUGGUAUUGGUUGGAGAUCUGAGUAGAAUGGAAAUAUAAAAUAGUUGACGGCCUAGGGAGAGUGAACAGACCAUGGAAACAUUUCUGGGCAGCAUUAAGGCUCAUUUGAGUUGAUGCUCAAAAAUUUAAAAUGAAACUGGUUAUUCAGCUUCAUCAGAAUUCAGUGCAGAAUAAGCAGUGAGAUUUAAUAAGGAUUUAAGUUUUGCCAAAUAAAUAUAAUAAAGGAGAAAAUGAAUGGAGUUGAGAGAGUAUGCAAGGCAGUAAUUAUUAUAAUGUAUUACAAAUUUAGGAUGAGCAGAUAAGGGAGGGCAGUAGGGGAGAGGUACUGUGAAAAGCUCUAGGGUUAACGGAUUGUUAAAUUCUGGUGAAGUCUAAGAAUUGAAGUCAAGGGCCUAUAGGGAGUAAGCCAGAAAAAGGAAAAGUAGUGAGAAAAUAGGAUGCAUGAAAUUGAGACUAAGGAAGGGGUUCAGUUAUUAGUAAUGGGAAAGGAAUAAAUGGCUGAGGCUAAUCCUGCUCAUCAAGAUCAUUAGCAGAGAGGUCAAAGGACUGAGACGUGUCAAUUGGAGAGUAAUAGUAAAUAGAGACUAAACUCUUUGGGGACAAGGAGUGAACCAGGGAUGGUAAAUGACUAUGGGUGGUAUAGUCUGAUGAUCAUGAAAAAUUUAAAGGUGGGGUUUUUUAGGGGAGAGGGAAGGAGAGAAUGGUCUGCAAGUGGCACUACAAAGGUAAGAAAAACCACAAGGUGAUCCUUUUUUAGUUCAUAAGGGUGAUGACUGGGUUUUCACACUCCUAUAUGAGAUGUGCUUACCUUGUUACCAUAGCACAUUAUAAGAAAGAAAGGAAGAAAGGAAGGAAGGGAAAGAAAGAGAAGAAAAGAGAAAGAAAAGUUAAGAAAGGAAGGAA